rnacentral:rRNA from 1 species
UACGGGGGGGGCAAGCGUUGUUCGGAAUUACUGGGCGUAAAGGGCUCGUAGGUGGCCAACUAAGUCAGACGUGAAAUCCCUCGGCUUAACCGGGGAACUGCGUCUGAUACUGGAUGGCUUGAGUUUGGGAGAGGGACGCGGAAUUACAGGUGUAGCGGUGAAAUGCGUAGAUAUCUGGAGGAACACCGGUGGCGAAGGCGGCGUCCUGAACCAACACUGACACUGAGGAGCGAAAGCCAGGGGAGCAAACGGG